GAUGAAGAACGUAGCGAAAUGCGAUACUUGGUGUGAAUUGCAGAAUCCCGUGAACCAUCGAGUCUUUGAACGCAAGUUGCGCCCGAAGCCACUAGGCCGAGGGCACGCCUGCCUGGGCGUCACACGCCGUUGCCCCCCCAUCUACUCCUUCGGGAUUGCGGGGGGGCGGAUGAUGGCCUCCCGUGCGCCUAGCCGCGCGGUUGGCAUAAAUACCAAGUCCUCGGCGACGCACGCCACGACAAUUGGUGGUUGCGAAACCUCGGUUGCCCGUCGUGUGCGUUCGUCGCGCAUCGAGGGCUCGAAAAAAUGCUCGGCUCCGGCUGGGCUUUCAACGCGACCCCAGGUCAGGCGGGGUUACCCGCUGAAUUUAAGCAUAUCAAUAAGCGGAGGA
rnacentral:misc_RNA from 1 species